rnacentral:rRNA from 1 species
AAGUAUCCUGCAGUGAAUACAUAGCUGCUGGAAGCGAACCCGGGGAACUGAAACAUCUCAGUACCCGGAGGAAAGGACAUCAACCGAGACUCCGUUAGUAGUGACGAGCGAACGCGGACCAGGCCAGUGGCUUCAAAAAAAUAACUAAAACAACAUGGAAAGGUUGACCAUAGAAGGUGAUAGUCCCGUAUAGGUAAAAAGUUUGAAGUCCUUGAGUAAGGCGGGACACGUGAAAUCCUGUUUGAACAUAGGGGGACCACCCUCUAAGCCUAAGUACUCUCUAGUGACCGAUAGUGAACAAGUACCGUGAGGGAAAGGUGAAAAGUACCCCGACAAGGGGAGUGAAAUAGUAUCUGAAACCAAAUGCUUACAAGCAGUCGGAGCAAGCGUAUUUAUAUGUCUUGUGACGGCGUACCUUUUGUAUAAUGGGUCCGCGAGUUUCUGUUGGCAGCAAG